UACGGAGGGGGCUAGCGUUGUUCGGAAUUACUGGGCGUAAAGCGCACGUAGGCGGCUUUGUAAGUCAGAGGUGAAAUCCCGGGGCUCAACUCCGGAACUGCCUUUGAGACUGCAUCGCUUGAAUCCAGGAGAGGUGGGUGGAAUUCCGAGUGUAGAGGUGAAAUUCGUAGAUAUUCGGAAGAACACCAGUGGCGAAGGCGGCUCACUGGACUGGUAUUGACGCUGAGGUGCGAAAGCGUGGGGAGCAAACAGG
rnacentral:rRNA from 1 species